rnacentral:tRNA from 1 species
GCUUUUCUGGUGUAACGGUAGCACACUGGACGCGUAUUCCAGAGGUCCAGGUUCGAGUCCUGGCCAGGGCA